AACUUUCAACAACGGAUCUCUAGGCUCUUGCAUCGAUGAAGAACGCAGCGAAAUGCGAUACGUAGUGUGAAUUGCAGACUCCAGUGAAUCAUCGAAUCUUUGAACGCACAUUGCGCCCGCUGGUAUUCCGGCGGGCAUGCCUGUCUGAGCGUCAGUA
rnacentral:rRNA from 1 species